rnacentral:rRNA from 1 species
GAUGAACGCUGGCGGCGUGCCUAAUACAUGCAAGUCGAGCGAACAGAUAAGGAGCUUGCUCCUUUGAAGUUAGCGGCGGACGGGUGAGUAACACGUGGGUAACCUACCUAUAAGACUGGGAUAACUUCGGGAAACCGGAGCUAAUACCGGAUAACAUUUAGAACCGCAUGGUUCUAAAGUGAAAGAUGGUUUUGCUAUCACUUAUAGAUGGACCCGCGCCGUAUUAGCUAGUUGGUAAGGUAACGGCUUACCAAGGCGACGAUACGUAGCCGACCUGAGAGGGUGAUCGGCCACACUGGAACUGAGACACGGUCCGGACUCCUACGGGAGGCAGCAGUAGGGAAUCUUCCGCAAUGGGCGAAAGCCUGACGGAGCAACGCCGCGUGAGUGAUGAAGGGUUCCGGCUCGUAAAACUCUGUUAUUAGGGAAGAACAUAUGUGUAAGUAACUGCGCACAUCUUGACGGUUCCUAAUCAGAAAGCCACGGCUAACUACGUGCCAGCACCCGCGGUAAUACGGAGGUGGCAAGCGUUAUCCGGAAUUAUUGGGCGUAAAGCGCGCGUAGGCGGUUUCUUAGUCUGAUGUGAAAGCCCACGGCUCAACCGUGGAGGGUCAUUGGAAACUGGGAAACUUGAGUGCAGAAGAGGAAAGUGGAAUUCCAUGUGUAGCGGUGAAAUGCGCAGAGAUAUGGAGGAACACCAGUGGCGAAGGCGACUUUCUGGUCCGUAACUGACGCUGAUGUGCGAAAGCGUGGGGAUCAAACAGGAUUAGAUACCCUGGUAGUCCACGCCGUAAACGAUGAGUGCUAAGUGUUAGGGGGUUUCCGCCCCUUAGUGCUGCAGCUAACGCAUUAAGCACUCCGCCUGGGGAGUACGACCGCAAGGUUGAAACUCAAAGGAAUUGACGGGGACCCGCACAAGCGGUGGGGCAUGUGGUUUAAUUCGAAGCAACGCGAAGAACCUUACCAAAUCUUGACAUCCUUUGAAAACUCUAGAGAUAGAGCCUUCCCCUUCGGGGGACAAAGUGACAGGUGGUGCAUGGUUGUCGUCAGCUCGUGUCGUGAGAUGUUGGGUUAAGUCCCGCAACGAGCGCAACCCUUAAGCUUAGUUGCCAUCAUUAAGUUGGGCACUCUAGGUUGACUGCCGGUGACAAACCGGAGGAAGGUGGGGAUGACGUCAAAUCAUCAUGCCCCUUAUGAUUUGGGCUACACAUGUGCUACAAUGGACAAUACAAAGGGCAGCUAAACCGCGAGGUCAUGCAAAUCCCAUAAAGUUGUUCUCAGUUCGGAUUGUAGUCUGCAACUCGACUACAUGAAGCUGGAAUCGCUAGUAAUCGUAGAUCAGCAUGCUACGGUGAAUACGUUCCCGGGUCU